GAUGAACGCUAGCUACAGGCUUAACACAUGCAAGUCGAGGGGCAGCAUGGUCUUAGCUUGCUAAGGCCGAUGGCGACCGGCGCACGGGUGAGUAACACGUAUCCAACCUGCCGUCUACUCUUGGACAGCCUUCUGAAAGGAAGAUUAAUACAAGAUGGCAUCAUGAGUUCACAUGUUCACAUGAUUAAAGGUAUUCCGGUAGACGAUGGGGAUGCGUUCCAUUAGAUAGUAGGCGGGGUAACGGCCCACCUAGUCUUCGGUGGAUAGGGGUUCUGAGAGGAAGGUCCCCCACAUUGGAACUGAGACACGGUCCAAACUCCUACGGGAGGCAGCAGUGAGGAAUAUUGGUCAAUGGGCGAGAGCCUGAACCAGCCAAGUAGCGUGAAGGAUGACUGCCCUAUGGGUUGUAAACUUCUUUUAUAAAGGAAUAAAGUCGGGUAUGUAUACCCGUCUGCAUGUACUUUAUGAAUAAGGAUCGGCUAACUCCGUG
rnacentral:rRNA from 1 species